AUCGUUCAUCUCCCGAGCAUUAGCCGAGGGACGGAAGUAGGAGCGCGAUCGCAGCCAGCAAUGGCUAAAAGCAGCUCUGAAGGAACGCGCC
rnacentral:ncRNA from 2 species